CUCAACUUUACCUUCUUCUCUCUUCCUUUAGAACAUACAAUCGGUUAUCUUCUCACCAACUUUACAAAAAUUAGGUCAACAUCAAAGAUCCGAUCAUAAAUCUUGAAGUUCCGUCAUAACAAUCGGAAUACCACCAUUGGUCAAUCAACAGAGUUAUGGUUCAAUCAACUCUUCAACUUCUCUCCAAUCUUCUUCCAAGAAUACCAUCGGUUUCCAUAUAACAAUGAAUUUCUUUAGUGGAUCUACAUAUAUAGAUGGUUUUACAUUCUUGACCGUCUUCAUCUACAUCUACUCUUUAUUGAAUCGAUUCCUGAAUUUCACAUAUCGCUCUACAUACUGUAUUUCAUAUGGCUGAAAGUUCUUCAAGUUUCAGAGGACCCUGCUUCUGUAGGCACAUGAAUGUAGCAGACGAAGUUAUUCUGAACAUAGCACAAUAUCGGAUAUCUGCUAUAAACAAAUAAUGAGGUGUCUUGAAGGCACUGCGUAAAACUAGUAGUGAGAAGAGCCGAAGAUAGAUUAGAAAACCAAGCACAAGGAGCCUGCUUUAAGCCAUAAAGAGCCUUCUGCACGAACAAAAAUGAUGAGAUCUAGAUUGGUUAACAAAGCCUGGUGGCUGAGACAGUCUCAGAUAACUCUCCAAGAAGAAAGACAUUGUUGACAUCAACCUGUCGAAUAGCCCUUCCUCGAGAAAACGCAAUUGAUAAGCAAGACGAAUAGUAGCGGGUUUAAUCACAUGACUAAAAGUCUCAGUGUAGUCCAUACCUUCAGUUUGAUAAAAGCCAUUGGCAACAAGUUGGGCUUGGUAUCGGCUAACAAAAUCAUCAGGAUUAUGCUUAAUCUGAUAGACCUACUUACAACCAACUUGUAUUUUCAUAGGUCUCCGGACGACAUAUAGGCAUGCGCAACAUAAAAGGUCUGGUUUGUCGACAUCAUAGCCACAACUUACACAAAUAAAAGAUUGUAAAUGUUGCCUUUGUAGGUCGCGUCGAUCAUCAGCACAUGCGGGAACGCCUGGCACAUAUCGAAGGACAACUUAUUAACAGAGAAAAUAUUCUUAGUGGCGUUUGUGGAUGGAUCCUGCAGCGUGUAAUAGGUGAAGUAUUUCUCGACAACCAGUUGUUCUAGUUUCUACAUGGGUGACGCUUUUUAUCGAACUUUCCGGCAUUAAUCUUCUGGUGAGCAUUGUGUAUAUCUUUUGGAACAUAUUUGUUAUUGGGGUUAUGUUCGAUUAUGGUUUUCUAAAUUUUACGUGUCUCCAUGUCUUGCGCUAACAAUUCUUCCAUGAAUCUAAACAUAUGAGAGAGUCUCCUGCCAUACGCGUAACCCUCUAGAUGUUGAGCAUGGUCAUAGUUAUUUUUUGGGUUCUACACAUCUAAUUGCUAAGUAUGACGUGUUAUGUCGAGAAGCCCUAUGUUUUGGGUUCUGCACAUCACACCUGACCUGACCCAACAAAUCAGAGAAA